rnacentral:rRNA from 1 species
UACGGAGGAUCCAAGCGUUAUCCGGAAUCAUUGGGUUUAAAGGGUCCGUAGGCGGUCUUAUAAGUCAGUGGUGAAAUCUCCCCGCUCAACGGGGAAACGGCCAUUGAUACUGUAGGACUUGAAUUAUUAGGAAGUAACUAGAAUAUGUAGUGUAGCGGUGAAAUGCUUAGAGAUUACAAUGGAAUACCAAUUGCGAAGGCAGGUUACUACUAAUGGAUUGACGCUGAUGGACGAAAGCGUGGGUAGCGAACAGG